rnacentral:rRNA from 1 species
AUAAACGCUGGCGUGCGUGCCGUAACACAUUGCACAAGUCGAAGCACGUCCUCUCGCGCAAGUGAGAGUAGAGUGGCGGACGGUGGUGAGUAACACGUGGGUAUCUACCUUGGUAGGUGAGGAAUACCAGCGAGAAAUCGCUGACAAUACCGCAUACGUUUCUUUCGGGAAACAAAGUCGCAAGACGCCCCAAGAUGAGCCUGCGCCCGAUUAGUCAGUUGGUGGGGUAAUGGCCUACCAAAGCGACGAUCGGUAGCUGGUCUGAGAGGACGAUCAGCCACACUGGGAUUGAGAACGGCCCAGACUCCUACGGGGGGCAGCAGUGAGGAAUUUUCGGCAAUGGGGGCAACCCUGACCGUAGCAACGCCGCGUGCAGGAUGACGGCCCUCGGGUUUGUAAACUGCUUUUCUCAUGGGACGAGCAAGGACGGUACCAGAGGAAUCAGCCUCGGCUAACUACGUGCCAGCAGCCGCGGUAAUACGUAGGAUAGGCGAGCGUUGUCCGGGAGGUUACUGGGCGUAAAGCGCACGCAUGGCGGUCCGCUAAGUCUCAGGUGACAGUCCCCCGGUGCUUAACUGGGGAAGUGUCUGGGAAACUGACCGGACUUGAGGGCUUCAGAGGGACAGGGAAUUCCGGGUGUGGUGGUGAAAUGCGUAGAUAUCUGGAGGGAACACCAUAACGACGAAGGCACUGUCCUGGGGAGCUUCUGACGAGCUCAGGUGCGAAAGCCAGGGGAGCGAUAACGGGAUUAGAUACCCCGGGUAGUACCUGGCCGUAAACGAUGACCACUAGAUGUGCGGGGUAUCGACCCCCCUGCGUGUCGGCGCUAACGUUUUAAGUGGUCCGCCUGGGGAGUACGGUCGCAAGAUUAAAACUCAAAGGAAUUGACGGGGACCCGCACAAGCAGCGGAGCGUGUGUGGUUUAAUUUGAUGCAACGCGAAGAACCUUACCAGGGCUUGACAUGCUCUUGCACCUCUCGGAAACGAGAGUCCCUUCGGGGCGGGAGCACAGGUGCUGCAUGCAUGGCUGUCGUCAGCUCGUGUCGUGAGAUGGUUGGGGUUAAGUCCCGCAACGAGCGCGACCCCCUGUCGUCGGUUUAUAUGUGUCCGGCGAAACUGCCAGGAUGAACCUGGAGGGAAGGCGGGGGAUGACGUCAAGGGUCAGCACGGCCCUUACGUCCUGGGGCGACACACACGCUACAAUGGCCGGUUACAAAGAGUCGCCAACCAGCAAUGGGGAGCUAAUCUCGGCAAAACCGGUCUCAGUUCAGAUUGGAGGCUGCAACCCGCCUCCAUGAAGUGGGAGUUGCUAGUAACCGUAGGUCAGCACACUACGGUGAAUACGUUCCCAGGGUCUUGUACACACCACGCCCGUCACACCACGAAAGUCGGCAACACACCUGAAGCCGCUGGGCUAACCCAACAGGGGGGGCAAGCGUCGAGGGUGGGGUCGGUGAUUGGGGUG